GAUUGUUGAGAUGAAUUUCCAUAUUCUAAUAAUAUCAAAUUUAUAGUGAACUAAUCAUUAUAUCAAAAGUUAUGCAUAAAAUAAAUCUACGGGUCCAUGAAUUAGUGUUUUUGUUUUUUCAUAACUUAGGCCAUAUCAAUUCGCAUAAAUUUCCAGAUUUGAUAUACAUAUAUUCAUGUAAUUAUAAACCAAAAAUCAAGGCCUAAUAGUGAACGAUACAUCAUGUACUAUUAAAGAGUGUUCUAGAUGCGAAAUCAUAUAUAACAUCAAAUAAAAUGGCAUGUCUCAUGCAAAUACAUUCAAAAUAUCUAAUACUUUCUAUGUAUUUUCAUGUCUUUUACACACACUUAUUUUA
rnacentral:lncRNA from 1 species